GAUGAACGCUGGCGGCGUGCUUAACACAUGCAAGUCGAACGGUGAGCACGGAGCUUGCUCUGUGGGAUCAGUGGCGAACGGGUGAGUAACACGUGAGCAACCUGCCCCUGACUCUGGGAUAAGCGCUGGAAACGGCGUCUAAUACUGGAUACGAGUAGCGGCCGCAUGGUCAGUUACUGGAAAGAUUUUUUGGUUGGGGAUGGGCGCGCGGCCUAUCAGCUUGUUGGUGAGGUAAUGGCUCCCCAAGGCGUCGACGGGUAGCCGGCCUGAGAGGGGGACCGGCCAAACUGGGACUGAGACACGGCCCAGACUCCUACGGGAGGCAGCAGUGGGGAAUAUUGCACAAUGGGCGAAAGCCUGAUGCAGCAACGCCGCGUGAGGGAUGACGGCCUUCGGGUUGUAAACCUCUUUUAGCAGGGAAGAAGCGAAAGUGACGGUACCUGCAGAAAAAGCGCCGGCUAACUACGUGCCAGCAGCCGCCGUAA
rnacentral:rRNA from 1 species